GUCAAUCACCCCACCCUAAAGGAUGGGGCUUGGAACUGAAAGGAGCCAAGCCAGGUUGACCAGGGAAAGCGGUAAUCAACCCGCUACGUUAGCAACAGGUCGUUCAGACACACCAGCGAAUGCUUCCUCAGUUCGCUGCUCUGUA
rnacentral:sRNA from 14 species